rnacentral:rRNA from 1 species
GAUAUGGCUCAGGAUGAACGCUAGCGACAGGCCUAACACAUGCAAGUCGAGGGGCAGCGAAGAGGUAGCAAUACCUUUGUCGGCGACCGGCGCACGGGUGAGUAACACGUAUGCAAUCCACCUGUAACAGGGGGAUAACCCGGAGAAAUCCGGACUAAUACCCCAUAAUAUGGGCGCUCCGCAUGGAGAGCCCAUUAAAGAGAGCAAUUUUGGUUACAGACGAGCAUGCGCUCCAUUAG